CCCUCCCAAGGCUUCGGGAUAUUCUACCCUACCCCUUCCAAUUUGGCCAUUUCCUUGUUUCUCCGGCCUGCUUAACUUCAGACAUACACAGAGACUCAGAGAGAGUGGCAGUGAGUGGAGCUGUUGGUAGCUGGUGGAAGUGACAAGAAGAUGGGGACUUUAGGAAGAGCAAUAUACACCGUCGGAUUCUGGAUUAGGGAGGCAGGUCAGGCAGUUGAUCGCCUCGGCAGCCGCCUCCAAGGCAGCUACUACUUCAAAGAGCAGCUGUCUCGGCAUCGGACUCUGAUGAACAUAUUCGAUAAAGCUCCUGUGGUUGACAAGGAUGUAUUUGUGGCCCCAAGUGCCUCCAUCAUUGGCGAUGUUCAAGUGGGAAGAGGGUCUUCUAUUUGGUAUGGAUGUGUUUUGAGAGGUAAGAACUCCUUUUGAGGCACAGUAAUAAACGACUUAUGCAUGAUUUUCUAAUUACUGUGGGACUUUUGGAAAACAAAAGUACAUUCUUCCUAUGCUGCUCUAUUUUUGUCGA